rnacentral:rRNA from 1 species
UACGGGGGGGGCAAGCGUUGUUCGGAAUUACUGGGCGUAAAGGGCUCGUAGGCGGCCAACUAAGUCGGAUGUGAAAUCCCCAGGCUCAACCUGGGAACUGCAUCCGAUACUGGAUGGCUUGAAUCCGGAAGAGGGAUGCAGAAUUCCAGGUGUAGCGGUGAAAUGCGUAGAUAUCUGGAGGAAUACCGGUGGCGAAGGCGGCAUCCUGGACCGGCAUUGACGCUGAGGAGCGAAAGCUAGGGGAGCAAACGGG